UAUAUCGCGGCGAUCCCCCUUUUAUAAGAAAAAAUCUGGAUCCGCCACUGAAUGAUAUAUGAAAGCUUCUAAUUCCCCUAGAUACAUCAGGCAUAAAUCUUAUUCAAAAGUCAAUAGGAGAUUUGUUUACUGAAUUAUCCGCUGAACUUCCUUAAAAGUUACAGACUUCUGACCAUGUGACCCUGACAACAACAGGUAGCCGGAUCUGUAAAGUAACCUCUUUCCAUAGCCCGUUGGCAGCAUGACCGUGAUGACCAUUCAAUCUUUGUGCCCCAAAAUACUUUGCAAACUUUGUGUUUGCUCACAAUUUAGCCCUAGAACUGUGUACUGAUGCAAAUUUUCUAAUAAUGCGUUUUCGAAAUCGCCUUCUAUCCUGCUGCGUCGCCAUCUUUAACAGAUUCUUAUGUCGUUUUUAUUAGGUUCAGUUCAGUUCAGUUUCUUGUAUAUAAAAUGCAUUAGUAUUAAAAAAAAAAACAUACUAUAGAUUCUUUAUCUACGUAUUCUUUAAGAACUUAAAUAGUUCUCGUUUAACUUUUUUUUUUUUUUUAUCUCAUUUUGUAUUGUAUUAUGAAAAAUUAUUGAUGUUGUAAUGUUUAUGCCCUUUGGGGCCCAUAAUUGGAAAAUAAAAUAUCUUAUCUUAUCUUAUCUGUAUAUUCCUCCAUUAAUUGUGGAGCACUACCCAAAGGGUAUAGUUUUAGCAACUAUGUACACCUUAAAACAUAAGGAAACAAAUAAUUAUAUACAGAUGACUGAAUUUGGUUAUAAUAAUCACUAAAUGAUAAAUAUCAUAAUUAAUUCAAUGGAUUGUCAUCAUAAAGUUUUAUUAGGAGGGUUUUGAUUGGUCAAUAUAAAUACUUUCUGGGGUCAAAUAUUACGCAAUAAAAGUUCACAAAAGUGAAACCUCAUAUUGAUAGUUGUUAGAUCUCAUAUGUAG
rnacentral:lncRNA from 1 species